GAAAUCCAAUAACUCUCCUGACUGACUCAACCUAUUCAUUAAGACACUGGGAAGAAAAACACUUCCAUAGAAAAACAGAAACUAUAUUAGGCAUUUCAACAUAGAGCCUAUACAAGGAAUGGUUAAACAGACAGUAGAAGAUUGAAAAAGCAAAAAGGGAACUCUGAGGCAACAACGAGGCUCAGCUUGGGCCUCAGACUUUUGAGGAGGGGACAUUGCCCAAAUGAUUCUGGUACAGCAGAGGGGCACAGUGUGGCUGGCUCUGGAGUGCUAAAAGAAUGUAGAGACUUUGGCUAUUAACAGCUUUCUGACCAAUAAACCAACUGCAGAUGAUUCUAGUCAUUCAAUUGUGGAAGCAUUUGGAAGGCAGAAGAUUCUGCAUCUUCAGGCACUGGAUUUACCACCAGCACCAGCAGAUACUCCCUCCGGAGACCCUUGCCAUUGAAUUGAGGACUGGGCUCUCAGAUAGCUCUUGAUAAGUCUGGGUUUGCUUAACUCAAUAACCCCACAGAAAACACCUUGGAGAAGGGUUCGAUUUACAUGGGCAUUUGAAGCACUGAAGCCUUAUAAAUUUGCUUUGAAAAUUUCAGUGAAGAAGAGGGAAGCAAAAGAGAGAUGGGGGGAAGAGAGAGACUUGAGAGAAAAAUAGUAUCUGCUCUGCUCUAUCAAGAAGCUACCACAGCACCGGUGUGAAGCUGACUAAGAUUUGGGGACACAGGGUCUCAGGUUUCCACAAGAACAAGCAAAUCCUGCAGCCUGCUGUGCAGCAAGUGCCCUGCCUACAGAUGUGGGAAGAUUUAUGGACUGGAACUAUAGAUUUCUACUUUUGUGUAGUUGGAUGGAGCUGUUAGUGAAUUUAUCCUUUAAGAUGCCAUCAGUUAGCUGUAUCUUUAAUAUGCAUUAAUUUGUUAAGAAGUGGAGUGUUUUUUUUCAGUCACUCAGCAAAUAAAAUGUAUAGUCAAGGUAUCCUAAUUCUUUCUAAACAUCAUUCCCUCUACAAGCACAAGACCUACACACUACCUCCUAAAUAUCCAGAAACACUCAAUCUGGUGCCUCACUCUAGCCUACACUUGCUAUCCAC
rnacentral:lncRNA from 1 species